UACCGACAUCAGCGAUUCAUUCUGUGAACCUGCCCCGACCGCCAGAUAAGAGUGCAUCCCCAGAUCUUUCAUUUGCUGCUCGCCAAUCACCCGGGUAACGACGUUUUUGCUGUAGCCGUCCGCCAGCUGGCGCGCCUGCGAGGCCAGAUAGGCCGCAUUACAAAUAUUCGGCGGCAUAUUGCCGAGAUCUUUGGC
rnacentral:antisense_RNA from 1 species